GGAGGCGUGGCAGAGUGGUCGAUUGCACCGGUCUUGAAAACCGGCAACGGGCAACCGUUCGUGAGUUCGAAUCUCACCGCCUCCGCCA
rnacentral:tRNA from 6 species